UACGAAGGGGGCUAGCGUUGCUCGGAAUUACUGGGCGUAAAGGGCGCGUAGGCGGAUAGUUUAGUCAGAGGUGAAAGCCCAGGGCUCAACCUUGGAACUUGACCUUUGAUAUCUGGCUAUCUUGAGUACGGGAGAGGUGUGUGGAACUCCGAGUGUAGAGGUGAAAUUCGUAGAUAUUCGGAAGAACACCAGUGGCGAAGGCGACACACUGGCCCGUUACUGACGCUGAGACGCGAAAGCGUGGGGAGCAAACAGG
rnacentral:rRNA from 1 species